UACGUAGGUGGCAAGCGUUGUCCGGAUUUAUUGGGCGUAAAGCGCGCGCAGGUGGUUUCUUAAGUCUGAUGUGAAAGCCCACGGCUCAACCGUGGAGGGUCAUUGGAAACUGGGAGACUUGAGUGCAGAAGAGGAAAGUGGAAUUCCAAGUGUAGCGGUGAAAUGCGUAGAGAUUUGGAGGAACACCAGUGGCGAAGGCGACUUUCUGGUCUGUAACUGACGCUGAGGCGCGAAAGCAUGGGGGAGCAAACAGG
rnacentral:rRNA from 1 species